GAUGAACGCUGGCGGCGUGCCUAAUACAUGCAAGUCGAGCGAACGGACGAGAAGCUUGCUCUUCUGAUGUUAGCGGCGGACGGGUGAGUAACACGUGGAUCACCUACCUCUAAGUCUGGGAUAACUUCGGGAAACCGGAUCUACUACCGGCUAAUAUUUCGAACCGCAUGGUUCAAAAGUGAUAGACGGUCUUGCUGUCUCUUAUAGAUGGAUCCGCGCUGCAUUAGCUAGUUGGUAAGGUAACGGCCAACCAAGGCAACGAUGCAUAGCCGACCUGAGAGGGUGAUCGGCCACACUGGAACUGAGACACGGUCCAGACUCCUACGGGAGGCAGCAGUAGGGAAUCUUCCGCAAUGGGCGAAAGCCUGACGGAGCCACGCCGAGUGAGUGAUGAAGGUCUUCGGAUCGUAAAGCUCUUUUAUUAGGGAAGAACAGAUGUGUAAGUAACUGUGCACGUCUUGACGGUACCUAAUCAGAAAGCCACGGCUAACUACGUG
rnacentral:rRNA from 1 species